rnacentral:rRNA from 1 species
CCUACGGGAGGCAGCAGUAGGGAAUAUUGCUCAAUGGGGGAAACCCUGACGCAGCAACGCCGCGUGGAUGAUGAAGGUUUUCGGAUUGUAAACUCCUUUUGUAAGAGAAGAUAAUGACGGUAUCUAACGAAUAAGCACCGGCUAACUCCGUGCCAGCAGCAGCGGUAAUACGGAGGGUGCAAGCGUUACUCGGAAUCACUGGGCGUAAAGAGCGCGUAGGCGGGAUAGAAAGUCAGAUGUGAAAUCCUAUGGCUUAACCAUGGAACUACAUCUGAAACUGUUAUUCUAGAGUAUGGGAGAGGUAGGUGGAAUUCUUGGUGUAGGGGUAAAAUGCGUAGAGAUCAAGAGGAAUACUCAUUGCGAAGGCGACCUGCUAGAACAUAACUGACGCUGAUGCGCGAAAGCGUGGGGAGCAAACAGGAUUAGAUACCCCUGUAGUC